CACACGACUCUCGGCAACGGAUAUCUCGGCUCUCGCAUCGAUGAAGAACGUAGCGAAAUGCGAUACCUGGUGUGAAUUGCAGAAUCCCGCGAACCAUCGAGUCUUUGAACGCAAGUUGCGCCCGAGGCCUCUUGGCCAAGGGCACGCCUGCCUGGGCGUCACGC
rnacentral:rRNA from 3 species